rnacentral:lncRNA from 1 species
GCCACCCUAAUCGCUUUAAAAUUGUUUGGUAUUAGAAAAAUGAAGCAACUUAUUCUUUGUAGUCAAUGUAGAAUGUCUGGCACAUUUAAUUUUCGCAUGCGACCCAUCACCCAUUAAAAGAUGAGUUAUGCAUGAGUAUGGCGUAGAUUCAUUCAGGGUAGAGGCCUCUUUGCAGACAUGAUGCGUAGUUCCCAAAUCAGGAUACCGCGACGAAGUUCC